UACGGAGGGGGCUAGCGUUGUUCGGAAUUACUGGGCGUAAAGCGCACGUAGGCGGCUUUGUAAGUUAGAGGUGAAAGCCCGGGGCUCAACUCCGGAAUUGCCUUUAAACGUAGUCAUCGCUAGAAUUGUGGAGAGGUAAGUGGAAUUCCGAGUGUAGAGGUGAAAUUCGUAGAUAUUCGGAAGAACACCAGUGGCGAAGGCGACUUACUGGACACAUAUUGACGCUGAGGUGCGAAAGCGUGGGGAGCAAACAGG
rnacentral:rRNA from 1 species